ACCCUAGUUCUAGGCGGGUCUACCCGCUGAGUGUGCAUAUCAAUAAGCGGAGG
rnacentral:rRNA from 1 species